AUUGAACGCUGGCGGCAGGCCUAACACAUGCAAGUCGAGCGGAUGAAGGGAGCUUGCUCCUGGAUUCAGCGGCGGACGGGUGAGUAAUGCCUAGGAAUCUGCCUGGUCGUGGGGGAUAACGUCCGGAAACGGGCGCUAAUACCGCAUACGUCCUGAGGGAGAAAGGGGGGGAUCUUCGGACCUCACGCUAUCAGAUGAGCCUAGGUCGGAUUAGCUAGUUGGUGGGGUAAAGGCCUACCAAGGCGACGAUCCGUAACUGGUCUGAGAGGAUGAUCAGUCACACUGGAACUGAGACACGGUCCAGACUCCUACGGGAGGCAGCAGUGGGGAAUAUUGGACAAUGGGCGAAAGCCUGAUCCAGCCAUGCCGCGUGUAUGAAGAAGGUCUUCGGAUUGUAAAGCACUUUAAGUUGGGAGGAAGGGCAGUAAGUUAAUACCUUGCUGUUUUGACGUUACCAACAGAAUAAGCACCGGCUAACUUCGUG
rnacentral:rRNA from 1 species